UACGUAGGGUGCGAGCGUUGUCCGGAAUUAUUGGGCGUAAAGAGCUCGUAGGCGGUCUGUCGCGUCGGUCGUGAAAACUUGGGGCUUAACCCUGAGCUUGCGGUCGAUACGGGCAUGACUGGAGUCCGGAAGAGGAGAGUGGAAUUCCUGGUGUAGCGGUGAAAUGCGCAGAUAUCAGGAAGAACACCCGUGGCGAAGGCGGCUCUCUGGGACGGUACUGACGCUGAGACGCGAAAGCGUGGGGAGCGAACAGG
rnacentral:rRNA from 1 species